GGCCUUACAGCUAAUCCUUGUCACACUUUGUUGUUUAAAAUCAUCCAUGGACCAGAAAAUACACAAUUGGAAUAGGUUGUCUGCCAUGGCUGUUGAACAGAUUGUAAUGACAGAGUGAUCCAUUCUACAGGUAUCAUAUGAAUGGGGCCGAAACUCAUGGUGGAAGCCUUCCAUGAACCAAAGAAUAGAAAAAAGAGUUCAAGGUUUGUACAUUUAGUCCCACAUUUCAUCUUACCCUUCUGUAUACUAAGGUGGCUUGGUUGGAUUUUGAACAUCUGAGGAACUAAUAAGAGCCAAGAUGAGAGUAAUGGAUAUGGUGCUUAAUACUUAGAUGAUUGUAAAUGCAAUUAUGAGUAGAAGAGAUGUUUUUGUUAUUAUGGUUGCUGGUGGAAGGAAAAGUCUCUGCUACCAGCUUCCAGCUAUUCUUCUUGAUGGAGUUGCUCUUGUUGUCAGUCCUUUACUUUCUCUUA